GGUUGGUUGUUCUCUUCACCAAGGAAUGUGGUGACACUGGUAUGGCAUACAGAUGAGAUGCAGGAGUACAUUAUCAUUGAACAAGUGACUCACCUGCUGAGCAUUCUACUGUCAAGAGCUGCUCGCGAAGCACAUGAAUAUAAGUAUCCUUCAGAUUUGAGAUCACCAUAGUGACUUGCAAGCAACUCACUGUACUUUGGUGUCAGACUAUCUAGAUUUC
rnacentral:lncRNA from 1 species